rnacentral:lncRNA from 1 species
UUUGGAGAGUUUUCUCAUUGUUCGUCUGCGGGAGGGAAAAAAAAAAAAAAAAAAAAAAAAAAAAAAAUGGCCAGAAAGGGGUUCGUUUUGAUUGUGUUUAAUACGGCAUGAAGCUCGGAGCGGUAAGCUGUGCCUCGGUGUCAUGACCUCUAUAUUGAAAACUUCACCUUCAACACAAGUUCACUUCGGAGACAGGACGAGUUAGAUUGCGCUUGGUGGGAACAAGUGCAAAUUUAAAAACAGAGUCAAUCAUAACGGGGGUGGGGGCUGGGAAAGGGCAAUUUAACCGUUUCUGGAGCCAGGAGUUAAGGUUUGCAUUGUGUACGCCGAGGCGCUGAUACUAACGCUGAAACCCAGCCCCGCAUCGCUCAGCAAGCAGAGCUGGGAAACAGGCUCCUGGAUCUCCGGAGAUGCUUUGUGAAAGCCUAGCCUGCGUGGGGGAAGGUUAGGAGGAAAAGAGGAAUUUACAGAGUAUUAGCAGAAAUUAGCCAAUGCCGACACAAGCUCAAUUAGUUUUUUUUUUUUUUUUUUUUUUUUUUUUUGGGUCUCUGUUGGCUGUUCUCGAACGUGAGUAAAUGCCGUGCAGGGAGAGGGAGAGCCCCAGCACACUGCCAUCUCAGAGCCGCAGCCAGGAGAUGGACUGACAGAUUGCAAAUUAAAAGAGUCCCAAUGUCAGAACGACCGCAGCCCCCGGCGCGCAGAGCCCGGUAGCGCUAAGCCCGGCACGGAGCGAGCGGGGCUGCGGCGGGGCCGGUCCUGCGCCGGAGCUGGGCUAGGCAGGGACAAUAAAGCCAGGCACGGGCAGAGAAAAUCGCAAGGCAUUGUACAGACAGGCAGCAAUGCAGACCUGCUGGAGGAGCUCAGCAGGAGGAGAGCCCGCGCUGCACCAGCAAUGUGGUCUGAACAGAGGUCUGUGUUGGUCCAGCUCAUUGGAAACUUUCAUGCUUAAAUCAGGAGGACGCUAUAGUUGGAGCUAAUCUGAGAGAUAAGAAUUUGCCAAGGGCAUCAACAGCAGUUUUCCCAGGCUUCAGAACAAGG